GAUGAAGAACGGAGCGAAAUGCGAUAAGUAAUGUGAAUUGCAGAAUUCAGUGAAUCAUCGAAUCUUUGAACGCACCUUGCGCCCUUUGGCCAUUCCGAAGGGCAUGCCUGUUUGAGUAUCAUGAACACCUCAACUCUCAUGGAUCGCCAUGAUGAGCUUGGACUUUGGGGGUCUUGCUGGCCUGUGGUCGGCUCCUCUCAAAUGGAUCAGCUUGCCAGUGUUUGGUGGCAUCACAGGUGUGAUAACUAUCUGCGCUUGUGGUUUUCCAUCAGAUAACCUUCAGUGAUGGAGGUUCGCUGGAGCUCAUAAACGUCUCCCCUAAGCGGGGACAGCCCUUUGAAUGUUUGAUCUCAAAUCAGGUAGGACUACCCGCUGAACUUAAGCAUAUCAAUAAGCGGAGGA
rnacentral:misc_RNA from 1 species